rnacentral:precursor_RNA from 11 species
UGAACCUACAUUUUUUUGCUCGACUGGUGCUCUUGGUUGCUCGGUCUUUAGGAUUAUGAUUUAACAUUCCUAAAGCUCGGCUAGCAGGAUCCACCAAUUAAGCUUGGACUACUUACAAUCU